UUCAGGCAUAACCUACUCAGUGUGCUCCCCUCCCCUGGCUACAGUGAUUGCUUCAAGCGUGGAUGACACAAUAUGUGGGCCAAUAAGACUGGAGAAGAAAUUUUCUGUAACCUCUGAGAAGUAUCCUUUCUCUUUUCUGAAAGCUUCUGGAAAUGGGCAUCUCUCUGGUUCUCUCCAAGGACAUAUGUAAGAGCAAGUAUCUUGAGAAAAUGUCAGCAGUCAAAUUACCACUGUGAGCUCAAGAGGAAAAUCAACUGGUGUACACGGCCAUGCCCAACACUGUCCCGAAGAAAUUGACCACACACUUGGAAGCGCAGAACCUAUGGUGCAUUCAUUCUUCAUGCAACAGACAUAGGUUCUCCAGCUGACUAACAUAGAUCAUAGAUGCCUAGAUGGAGGCGAUGACAUAAAGCUAGCUCUCCUUUUCCUCGUGGUCUGUGGAAGUGACCUUCUGAAGUAACCAGCAAGUAGCAUCAUCCAACAAAGUGGAUUAAAAAAAAA
rnacentral:lncRNA from 10 species